rnacentral:rRNA from 1 species
CCCCUAGAUGUUCUGGGCCGCACGCGCGCUACACUGAACAGUUCAACAAGUCUUAACCUUGGCCGAUAGGUCUGGGUAAUCUUUGAACGCUGUUCGUGAUUGGGAUAGACCUUUGCAAUUAUGGGUCUUCAACGAGGAAUUCCUAGUAAACGCAAGUCAUCAGCUUGCAUUGAUUACGUCCCUGCCCUUUGUACACACCGCCCGUCGCACCUACCGAUUGAAUGGUCCGGUGAAAUCUCGGGACGGCGGCUUGGUCGCUUGCGUCCGACUGCUGAAACUUGAUUAAACCACAUCAUUCAGAGGAAGGUGAAGUCGUAACA